CAAGGCAGACGGCUCGGUAACACGUAGUCAACCUAACCUGUGGACGGGCAUAACCUCGGGAAACCGAGAAUAAUACCCGAUAGGCCAUGAUGCCUGGAACGGUUCAUGGCCCAAACGAUUUAUCGCCGCAGGGUGGGACUGCGUUCUAUCAGCUUGUUGGUGAGGUAAUGGCCCACCAAGGCUAUAACAGAUACGGGCUCUGAGAGGAGAAGCCCGGAGAUGGGUACUGAGACACGGACCCAGGCCCUAUGGGGCGCAGCAGGCGAGAAACCUUUGCAAUGUGCGAAAGCACGACAAGGUUAAUCCGAGUGUUUCCCGCUAAGGGAAUCUUUUGCCGGUCCCAAAAGCACCGGCGAAUAAGGGGUGGGCAAGUUCUGGUGUCAGCCGCCGCGGUAAAACCAGCACCUCGAGUGGUCAGGAGGAUUAUUGGGCCUAAAGCAUCCGUAGCCGGCCGCGUAAGUUUUCGGUUAAAUCCAUGCGCUCAACGUAUGGGCUGCCGGGAAUACUGCGCAGCUAGGGAGUGGGAGAGGUAGACGGUACUCGGCAGGAAGGGGUAAAAUCCGGUGAACUGCCGAUGACCACCUGUGGCGAAGGCGGUCUACUAGAACACGUCCGACGGUGAGGGAUGAAAGCUGGGGGAGCAAACCGGAUUAGAUACCCGGGUAGUCCCAGCUAUAAACAAUGCAAACUCGGUGAUGCAUCAGGUUGUGCUUGGUGCAGUGCCGCAGGGAAGCCGUUAAGUUUGCCGCCUGGGAAGUACGUACGCAAGUAUGAAACUUAAAGGAAUUGGCGGGGGAGCACCACAAGGGGUGAAGCCUGCGGUUCAAUUGGAGUCAACGCCGGA
rnacentral:rRNA from 1 species